AGAGUUUGAUCAUGGCUCAGAACGAACGCUGGCGGCAGGCUUAACACAUGCAAGUCGAACGGUCUCUUCGGAGGCAGUGGCAGACGGGUGAGUAAUGCAUGGGAAUCUACCGUUCUCUACGGAAUAACUCAGGGAAACUUGUGCUAAUACCGUAUACGCCCUUUUGGGGAAAGAUUUAUCGGAGAAUGAUGAGCCCAUGUUGGAUUAGCUAGUUGGUAGGGUAAAGGCCUACCAAGGCGACGAUCCAUAGCUGGUCUGAGAGGAUGAUCAGCCACACUGGGACUGAGACACGGCCCAGACUCCUACGGGAGGCAGCAGUGGGGAAUAUUGGACAAUGGGCGCAAGCCUGAUCCAGCCAUGCCGCGUGAGUGAUGAAGGCCCUAGGGUUGUAAAGCUCUUUCACCGGUGAAGAUAAUGACGGUAACCGGAGAAGAAGCCCCGGCUAACUUCGUGCCAGCAGCCGCGGUAAUUC
rnacentral:rRNA from 1 species